GAUGAACGCUAGCGGGAGGCUUAACACAUGCAAGUCGAGGGGCAGCAUAGGGUAGCAAUACUCUGAUGGCGACCGGCAAACGGGUGAGUAACGCGUAUGCAACCUACCCUGUACAGGGGGAUAACCCGGAGAAAUUCGGACUAAUAUCCCGUAAUAAUAUCCGGAGGCAUCUUUGGAUAUUUAAAGUUUCGACGGUACGGGAUGGGCAUGCGUAACAUUAGCUGGUUGGUAAGGUAACGGCUUACCAAGGCUAUGAUGUUUAGGGGUCCUGAGAGGGUGGUCCCCCACACUGGUACUGAGACACGGACCAGACUCCUACGGGAGGCAGCAGUGAGGAAUAUUGGUCAAUGGGCGCAAGCCUGAACCAGCCAUCCCGCGUGCAGGAAGACGGCCCUAUGGGUUGUAAACUGCUUUUCCAGGGAGAGAAACUUACGCACGUGUUGCGUGACUGACGGUACCCUGGGAAUAAGCAUCGGCUAACUCCGUGCCAGCAGCCGCGGUAAUAGUGUGUGUAC
rnacentral:rRNA from 1 species